rnacentral:lncRNA from 1 species
AGCGUAUAUAUAUAUUCUGUUAUUAAAGAUAAUAGAAACACAUUUUUUCUAGUGUAUGUACAUUUCCUAUUAUUAAAGAUAACAGGAAUUCAUUCAUUUCCUUUGGGAGUGGGGCUGGACUCGAUGAUCUUCCGAGGUCCCUUCCAGCCCUAAUGUCUGUGAAAUCUAUGAAAUUUCAACAUUCUUUGGAUCAGGCCCUUAAUACUUUAUGUAAACUCAUAUUUUUGGUGACUUAAGUACAUAUAGCAGGAUGAAAUUCUACAAAAUUUAAAACUAACAAAUUUUGAGAAAAAUUUCACAACUCCCGUUUACAAAGCAAAACAUUGCCUCCACUGAAAAUGCGUGCCUAUGCAACUCAAUUAGCAAACGUCUGUACAAAUUAAAUACAAGCAAUGCAAAAUAGGGCUGAAACAAAUUAAGUAUUGAGGUAGUACGCACAGAAUAUAGGUGCCAUUAUUUUCUGUGUUUGAAAUGAAAACCUAAUUGAUCCUUAGAGCAAAGCCACCUGGGAGUUGCUACAGUUAACACAAAGGGACUCGAGCAGCAGCUAUAUUUUAUUUCUUUUUUUACGACAUGUUAUUCUUUAGACACCUCCAAAAAAAUUGAUUUUCUUUUACAGAAGUACUAAAACAAACGUGGAAUGAUAACGGUGUCAGAUAUGCAGGUAAUCCUGUUAUUUUUUAUUCCCUAGGAACUUGUAAGACACGUAUUUGUGGUGCCCAACUAUCAUUCGUGUUAACCAUACAUUUUUUAUUUUGUUUUAGGCAACAAGUUUAAUAACUUGCUUGGAAAUUAAUCACUCUAAGAAAAUCUGUAUAGUAGCUGUGAGGAUAAAACAAAAUCAUGAUUAAGGUCUGGAUGAAACAACUAACAUCAUGAAUUCCAGGUCAAAAUUGGCAUGGGGCAAUUUGGAAAAAGUUGUGAAAGAAACAUACAGGAAAAAAAACCGAACAUCAGGUACAUGGGUAACAUCAAGCAUUCAACAUCUGAGCAAUUCAAGCAAGGGUCAGGAACUGGCCUAUUCCAAAGCCUGCCCAAGGCCCUGAAGGAAACUAGCAAAACCCUUCAGGGAAUAAAAAUUGGACUUUGAUGAGUCUGGAUUUGGCUACACGGAAGGAAGAGCGGAUUUCUUCUUGAGCUGAAGAGGCUGAAAUUGUUGGGGUUGCACAUACGUGUUUGGUAGGAGAACUUAGGGUCCCUGGACAAGACAUAACCCAUUGCAAGGUUAGGUACCUUGGUCUUAGCUGGUUAUUUUAGCACUGCACUCUUCCAGUUAUCAACGUGCAUAUCUAAGUCUCCGCUUGAUUUCACAAAGAGUAUGAACACACAAAGGAAUAUAGAUUAUCAAGCUGGUAAUGACAGAUGACAUUUUUUCUUACAAACAUGAGCAGGGUCAAAAAUCAUUCUGGGCGCAACUUCUGACUUCAGUAGCUUUAUACAAGUAAAGAGCAGGACCUGUCUUGUCCAGAACUGCCCACAGAACAGCAGUUUUGUUUCACGGCAAAUUUUGAGGUUUCACAUUUGUAUAUGUUUUGUAUUGGAAUGAAACCCAACCUUGUAAAUGUUUUUACAAAAUGGACUUGUGUCAAAAUAGCCAUUUUUAGAUCAAAAAGGUUGUAUUUUUUAUUUGGGUCUCUCCAAUUAUAUACCUAGACUUCCAAAAGGCUUUUGAUCUAGUAUCCCACAAUAUCCUUGUGGGAAAACUGGAAAAUUGUGGGCUCAGCUGCUCAACAGUUCAGUGGGUGGGAAACUGGCUGCAUGGUAGGACCCAGAAAGUUCUCAUGAACUGAUCCGUGCUGUACUGGUGAGAAGUGGCCAGUGGUGUCCCUCCGGGGUCUGGGCUCGGACCGGUGCUUUUCAACCCCUUUAUCAAUGAUUUGGAUGGGGGAGUGAAAAGCUCCCUGGCCAAGUUCGUGGAUGACACCAGGUUAUGGGGCAGUGUGGUAAUGUCAGAAAAUAGGUUGCAGAUACAGACGGAUCUGGACAGGCUCUAGAGUUGGGCAGACCAGAACCAGAUGAAAUUUAACAUUUCCAAGUGUAAGGUGCUCCAUCUGGAGGCAAACAACCUUCAGUAUAUACAUACAGGCUCGGCGGUGACAGCUUGACUUGCACCACAGCUGAAAGGGACCUAGGGGUAAUGACUGACCAUCGCAUGAAUGUGAGCUGUCAGUGCAAGGCAGUGGUCAGCAGGGCAAGUGACACGCUGGCAUGCAUCAACUGAUGCAUCUUGUGUAAAACUAAGGAAAUGAAACUCCUGCUGUACUCAGUACUGGUGAGACUGCAGCUGGAGUAUGGCAUCCAGUUCUGGGCUCUGCACUGCAAUAAAGAUGUGGAAAAGCUUGAGAGG